AGCUUUAAUUCAUAUGGGCUUUGUGAUAUUGUUACUUGCUGGACUACCUUUUUCAGAAACACUUCCGUUUCCUAUUCUCUUAGCGUCGCCGAAGAUUGCUUUUUUUCUUUUCUUUUUUUUUCCAGCGAAUGCUUAGACCGUUCAUCUAACCGGCGUCGAAAUCUCCAUCUAUAAUACGUGAAGCCAUUGUUUCCGGCGAUACCUGUUAAAACCCGGCGGCGAUGGUGUCUUUCAUCUAUUUUCUGUGAUAUGGCUAACUCAGCAACUCUCUUUUUCUGUUUGUGAUCGAAGAUGGCGGAAAGCUUUCACCUAUAGCUGUUGCUUUCACCGAUGAGCAGACCAAGAGUUUUACGAAGCUUUCUGUCUCCUCGACAAAGACUCAGAGGGUAUGUCGUUGUUUACUUUGGUCUUACUCAAAAUACAACCUUCUAUACGAACAGACCAUGGAACUGAUGAUAAGAUGGAUUAGCUGAUAUUUAUAUAUGCUGUUCGUGAGAAACCAAAGAAAGUGAUGAAAUCGAUGUGGAAGAAUUGAAAUGCAGAACUUUGGGAGAUGAUGAUCGUCAUCUACGUUUGAUGGCAAUGGAGACAUCUAUAUAAUGGCCCAAAACACCUCUCAGCAGGGAAGCUUGAAGAUCAUCAGCCACCAUCCCUACUUCAAAUGGAUAUACAAAACAUAGACAUAUUUUUAGAUUAGUCUUCGAUAGGUGCAUAAGGAGGUGGUACGGUGAGAGAUCAGCUGGAGAAGAAAGAGCGAGAUCCAGGAUUGUAGAGUCAGAGUGAAAGGAGACGGAGCCAGAGAUUCACGACACACAAGCAGAUGGAUUUAACUUCUUCUUAUGAUCAGAACGAUGCUUGACAAUGAGAUUCAAGGAGAAGAAGCUCCGGAACCUUCUCUUGCUGGAAAGAGAAGAAAAGAAACUGAAAGACCAAGCUCUGCUCUUCCACAAAAACCAAGGUAAUCAAUUGCUCAUAGAGCAAAAGUAUGGGAAUUCUUUAUCCAAAAAGAAGAUGAUCGUGCACAAUGCAAUUGUUGUUUCUGCAAAAUUGCAGGAACUGAAAGUAGCACCUGAAACACGUACGUGUUCUCCACGUGAAAUUACUAAGUGUAUCUUGGUUCCUUUUUGUAUUUAAUUCAGCUUGAGUUACAAUUUGUGUUUGUUUAAGAUUUUUAUUGCAAGUUGUUUUCUCUUCUCUGUUAUUGUUGUAAACUUGUGAUGUCAGCAUCUUUCAUCAAUAAGUUAGUACAACGUGGGUUCGAAA